UUAAUUGCAGUUAACUCAGAGUACAGGAUAACUUUCUCCAACAGCCAGGAAGAUACUUUGGGGCUUCCUAUUAAAUACUUCAUCCAAUGUUGAACACAGAACAUUGGAGUAAUACAGGCCGUCCUUGACCUAUGACUGUAAUAAAGAUUCCCAUUUUAUGGUUAUAAAUUGUAUCAUCAUGUGACUGAUCUGAUUUUAUGACCUUUUUUGGGUGGUCAUUGAGUGAAUGCCACAAUUGUUAAGCAAACCCUUGUUGGUGAUGGGGCAUUUUUUUUGCAGAAAACUGGAAAUACUUGCCAGUUUGGGGCAGAAUAUUGUAAAUUGUGGUCAUGGGACUGUGGGGAGGGAGGUCAUCAGAACUUUGGAACAGGAUCAUAAGUAUGUUUGGAAGGUCCAUCAUAACUUUCUGGUCGAGGACUAUCUGUAAAUUAGCUUCCUUGCAAAGAAUUCAUGCAGAAGUGAAGGGCAUCGGUUAACACAUCCAAAGUCUACACAGUAUUGCUCUCCAAUUCAACCAGAUUGCUUUUCUCAAAAUGACAACGCUUGGCUUGCUCAAGCACGUUCCCCCUCUCCUCCACAGUCAGGCAUCGGUGGAUUUGGGAGAGAAACGAAUCUGUUCAUUAGUAGUAGAUGGUUUUAGAU